rnacentral:lncRNA from 1 species
CGCGCUGGAAGUGGGAGCUGAUGAGUGAAAAGAAAAAAAAGUCUUUGGAUCUUUAUUCUGCUAAUUAGUUUCCUGCAAAAAAUGGCUGUGAUUAAUUCAGUGCGCAUGUGCUUCAUUACCCAGGCACGACGGGAAGGGCUAAUUAGCCACCUUCUGGAUCAAUAAGAUUCAGCAAAAAAGAAAAGGGGGAGGUGGAGGGAGGCAGAGGGGAGGAAGGGAGGAAAAAAAAAAAAAAACCAGGGGAAAGUGAUGAGCAGGGCAAGGAGAGCAGGAAGAGAGGAUGGGAGAAGAGCCUAGGAAGAGGGAGAGAGGCACCAAAAGUUUAUGCAUGUAUUAAAAACACAUACACACACGACACGCGCGCGCGCACACACACACACAUACACACACACACACACACAGAGAAGUGAAAUGCAGAGAAGCAACAAUAGGGACCUAGCUAAGAUUUUUUUUAAAGAUUUUUCCUUUCUUUUCUUUUUUCUUUCUCUUUUCCUUCUUUCUUGUAAUUUCCUUUCCCCCUUUUUUCUUUUUCUUUUUUUAAGCAAAUGCAACAAUGCUUAAAUUAAUAGGAAAAGAACAUCUUCAAAGAAGAGGGGGGUGGGUAAUAAUGGAGUGGGACAGCUUAAAGCAAAGGUUUAAGUGAAAGACCAGAGGCUUAGAAUAGAGGCCACUUUAAAUUGCAAAUCCGAGAUUUUUAAACGGAGGAAAAUUACCUCCCCCCAAACCAGAGGAGGAAUGAAGAAAAUAUGGAAGAAACUUUAACACAUACCAUAGACUAUACAAAAAAAUAUAAUAUGUUAAUUUUCUCUUCCGAAAUAAGACGCAAUCAAUCUUCUCUGGUUCUUUAGAAGAAGAAGGAAAGAGGGGCGAAGGGGAUGAUGAUUAGAAGAAAUGAAAGGGAGAAAGUGAAUCAGAACUUAAAGGGGGGCCACUUUAGGAAAGACAAGAAAAGGAAAAGUUGCAUUUAGAAACAAGUCCAACUUUCUACCUUUCUGUACUUAAGAAAAAAGUAAAAUCAAUUUUUUUUGUGUGUGUAAAACCUGGAAAGCAGAUGUUUUCAAAACACAGGAAGCUAUUUUGUCAUCAAAAGCAGGGAUGUAAUAAAGGCAGUGAAAAAUAAUUUCAGACUAAAUUCAUAAGAAAGAAAGCCAAUAUAUUUAAAUAGCGAGGAAAGGUCUAGUGUGUAGAAAGAGGGGAAAUUACAUACCCCUUCCCUAAUGCGGGGGGGGGGGGGAGUCUUACAGCUACCUCCAAGAGUUUGGAACAGAGUCUCAAAGCCAAAGGGCUUGAAAUGAGAGGAUGGAUUUCAGAUAAAGACUAGGAGCGAUACAUCCCACCAGAGCCCAAAGGAGAUCCCUGGAAUCAAAGACAGCAGCCAGGGACCCUGCUACUGUACCGAUUCCCAGUACAUCAAAGCCGUCACUUAGGCUGGUGCAUGGUACCUCCAAAAAGCAAGCAAACAAAUGCAGGAAGAACAAGAGUGUCUCUCUCUCUCUCUCUCUCUCUCUCUCUCUCUCUCUCUCUCUCUCUCUCUCUCUCUCUCUCUCUCUCUCUUCCCCUACUUUCAAAUCCUAGCCUUAGCGUCACUGCUACUGCAAUAGAUUUUUUUAAAUGACAACUGUGUAUUUAUGUAAGUUCUAAAUAUGAACUAGUACCACUGAAAUUACAAUGUCUAGAAUAAAAUAAAAUGCAAUCUGCACUUUAGGUGAUCUUCAAACAAAUGUAAAAACAACAUUUAUGUUUUUGAAGGCAUUGGUAACAUCAGGUAGAGAGGAUGAAUGCGCUAAAACUUAUUUUUAUCCGGAAAAAAAAUUUUUUUUGCACCAGCCUACCACGAUUACUGAUCUGAGAAGGAAUUUGGGAACUAAUCAGGAAAUCUGUUUGAUUAGAAAGUAAUUCUUCAUUUUGAGAGCUUUUCCAAUGCUCUUAAGAGCAUGCAGCUUCUUAGUCAAGACUAGGGGGGAGAAAACUGGUUUGGGAUUUUGCAGUUACCUCAUCUAAUCCUUCUGAAUUCACUCUGGGGAUAAUGCUUUUUUAUUUAAAGGGGAAGGGGGGGGGAAGGAAAAUACACUUAGAAAAAUCAGGGGUUUCCUCUCCAUGAGCCAAAUCUGGGUUGCCAUUCAAACUUUUCCUGGCUGCUUUUCCAUGCGGGACAGCUGAUCAAUAAAGCCAAGUCCAGCCUGGCUUGCUACAGGUUUCACCAGUCAGUGCUUGCAAAACCUUUGUCAUUUUCUAAAAAUAAAAAAGCUAAAAGUUAUUGUAGAAGAAGGGGCUUUUUUUUUGUCCCCUGCACAAUGUGUCUUUUGUGAGGUUAAUGCCAUUCUGGGCUCUCGAUAGCCCUGGACAAUGGGAACCCUCCAGGAGCUUGCAAAGACUCUGGCUUUUUUCUUUCUCGCCUUUUUUUUUUUUUAAGGGAAGGAUGAAACAUUCCUGCAGUCCAAAUACAGCCUCUACUUUGAUUAAAUAAAUAUUUAUCUUUAUUGUAGCCAUUGUAUAUUUUUACCUACAGUUUGUCUGGUUUCUGAUUAUUAUUUUAUAUUUUUCAUUGGCAACAGUUAAUCUUUUUUUUUUCCCUUUCAGUUCAAAGUACAGGUCAGUGUAAAAUGUAGCUGACUGAAGAAAGACUGGUAAAUUCUGAAUUUUUCCAUAAUACAUCAGGUAAGGAAAAUUGUUCAGACCCUCAGGAGUGUAUUUGUUCCUAUUUAUCUGUCUUCACAAAUCUUCAUAAAUCUAUUAGUUUAUUUUUUAAAGACGCAGCAGAAAUAAAUUUCUCCUUGUAGAUCUUGAAAAAAAUCACUUAAAUACUAUGUAUUUAUUCUCUUUUAAAAUGCAAAUAGUAGUAGAAGUGAACUUGUCGCUUAUUUCUUCUAUGAAACAGUGUGGAGGAAGUCAAUAUCUUCAUGGUAUAAGCUAUUUGGGGGAAAUUCUGGAUAUAAACGUAUUUCAUGUUGCAAUAUAAGAAAAUGUCAGCUUAAUCUGGUAAAUACUUAUGCUAAUUUUACUGAGUGAAUUCGUUGCAAGGAGGAGAGGUACCAAGCUUGUAUGAUUGAAUAAUGCUUAGACGAUAAUCCAGCAUCUAUAUGGAUUAUUUUAUGUACAAAAUGAAAAAAAAAAGAGCCAAGAAAUUUAGAAUCUAAAUCCUUAACUUAGCUGGCAAGAGGGCAGAAAUUUUAGACCAACCUGUUUUUAAGACAUUUACAGUGGGGAGGGAAAAUAGAAUGUAGGCUAAAUACUGCAUUGAUGUAUACAUUUCUCUACCUCUCGCUCAAGUGAAUGGAUACAUGCACACACACACACACACACACACAUAUACAUAUAUCCACACACAACGAUUAAUGCAUAAAGGAGUUCAUAAAUAUACAUUUGAAUGACUUUAGAUGUCUUUGCAUCUUGUGUGUGCGUGAAAAUAUAUGUGCCCACAAAUAUACAAGGUGUACAUAAAUGCAGGUGCUGUAUAGGGCUGUGUGUUUGCUCUCUCGCUGGAGGUUUGUGUUUUCAGAUCUAUUUGGGGCCACUUCUUUUGCAAACAUAACAUAGUGAUAUUGGUUUAAUGAUGAAGAUGUAGAUGAUGAAUUUGAGUAAAAAUCUGCUCCCCUGCAAUUUUCAGAAUAUGUGUUGUAAUGUGAGUAGCUUUUUUUGGUCCAAGGACUAAAGAUGCCAUGGGCCAGUUUUAAGGGGGAAGGAAAGAGAAGGGGGUGUUAAGAGUUCACACUUUGGAAGAGUCUAGCUCUGGGCCCUAGGUUUUCUUCUACAGGGGGUUUGAGGACAUAGAAACAUAAAGGAGGGGGAAGAAAAAAGAAAAUCCCGUGUGGAGGCAGGGGAGGUUGAAAGGACACCUCUGUACAACUCUAACGCUGGAUCCAAGAGAGGGUUGGAGCGUGAAGAAUGUGCGGGUCCUUUUUUUGAAUGCGUAUUGUUAUUCUAAGUCUAUUGUAUGUACGUGUUGCUGUCCUUUCAUUUGCCACGACAACAUAUGGAUUCCAUAAAUGCAGACAUGCCGAAGUGCAUCUGUCUGGGUAGUUAACAGGAUCCAAACAUCCCUUCUCAUCCCGCUAACUCGGGCUAUUCUUGGGCUCCCCAGCAUGCUCCGGCUGGCCGGCCCGUGCCCCCAGGCUCGCAGCACCCCACAGUCUCGCCCUUUUGUGGUCUCUGCAUGGACUCCAAGGUGCUGCGCUGAGGAGGCUGGCUACUCGUAUUGCCGCGGUCAGAGGCGCUGUUGCCGCUGGCCUCUGAGCGCGCGGGGAGGAAGGGGUUAAGCUGCCCGAGCCGGGCGAAGGGGCUGUGCUCAUCCCAGAGCGAGGUGCAGCCACCGGCAGCUGUGAUUUAGGGGUCAAGUCCGAGAUCACCUUUCUCAUGCCUCUGGAAAUGGCAGAAGAUGAGGUAGGGAGGGAGAAACAGGAGUGAGCAGCAGCCAGGCGCAGCACGUGGCGCUCCAUCCAUCCGACCCCCCCCUUGUCCCAGCCCACCCCUUGACCCCCAGACAAAUCAGAUAGUUCCCUUUGCUAUUAGGGGUGUGGGGUGCGGUUCCUCUGAGUGUCGGCAAUUACUCCAUUUACGGCUCUGUUCUAUGGUUAAACCGAUGUGCCCCGACCCUCAACCAUCAAAUCAGAAAGUUUGCUCUCAGUGCGCUAGGGAGUGAGCAGCUGGGUGUGCAUGAAAAUUGUCCCCCAUUUGCAAGAAACAGGAGUGCCUCUGUCAGGAGGAGGAAGUUUGGAUGUUGGUGCUAGCCCCUCAUCCUGGAGUCUUGCACCUCACAGUCCUGAGCGCGUGUACACAGUGGUGUUCAUUACAUGCAGCUUCUUGCUUUUUUUAUGCUUAUGUUCUCCUUCAAGAACUUUCUCUCCCCCAACUAAGGCAGUCUGGAAAAUACUUUUGUCAAAAUAUUUUUCAUGCCUGAAAGAUAACCAAAAACCAAAUUCAGAUUUGUUUCUGAGUUGUUUCACUGAAAAAGAGCAAAGUGUCUGAAGUCCUUUUUUGUCUUGUGGCAGCAUUGGGAGAGCUAGGUUUUGGAUCUCAGCACCCAGGUGAUGUUCUGGGGGCCCUGGGGGCAUGCAGAUGUUCACAAUAGGGGCUUUCAAUGAGAAUGAGCUUCCCAAAUUCACCUCCAGGAGUCCCAGAGUUGAGGACAAGAGCAACUCUUUUGGAAAGUUACUCCAAAGGGGUGGGAGAGACAUUUUUGGUGAAAAAAGAAUUGGCUUGAAAUGAUAGAAAGGGGAAAAUUAAAUUCUUGGGGACAGGAGGCAGGUGUGGGGGGAAUGCAUAGAGAAGGCAAGGAGAUGAGUGAAAAGGAAGUGUAUGAGGCCGCCAGGGCAGCUCAGAGACCGGCACCCCUGAUGCUCCCACCAGCUACUAGGGUGAGGGCAAAUCAUCCCAUUUCAGCCUCUGCAUCCAGAACCAAGAGUAGACCAGCUGGUCUAGAAGGCAGCUGAGGUCUGUCUUUCUAUCCCAGCUGCCCCUAACCCUGCCAGAGCCUCCAACCUGCAGAAAUCAAACCAAAUUGGCCACUCCAAUCCAGAGAGGUUUCAUCCAGGGGGAAAGGGGGAGGGAACAAUCCAUUCUCUCUCCUUCUCCUCCUCCUCCUCUUCUUUUGAACUCCUGAUUCAAAAGAGACCACAACCUAUUCUUGAGUGUCAUCCCCAGUACAUGGAUUGUGGGCAUGUUUCAUUCUUUCCUUUUUCCUAUUUCUCAGAAGUAAACCCUUUAAAGAAUUAGUCCCAAACUUGGAGCGACUGGUCCUUGAAAGAGUUCCAAAUGAUAAAGCCUGUCCUUCAUUUCCAAUACAUAGCGCAUUGUGAAAAUGCAGGACAAUUAGUUCCCAGGUUUGAGUUGGAGUCCCAGCUUCCUUGAUUCCUUUGCAAUGGAAAUCUGAAAUCCAACCUGGGGGCAGGAAGCACAGAGCCUGUGGCUCUCCCGGGUUCUGCACUGCCUGUGUCACACGCUAGCGCUGGCUUCCCUUUUGGUGACCCGGUACUAGAAGUUUGCACCACAUCUCAAGCCUGGGGCGGGUGAAGAAGAGAAGUAACUAACCUUAUCACAACGCAACAAAGUGAACAACUGGAGGGCAAGAGAGCCCCUCGGAUGCUUUAUUCGCCUUAGGGAUUUCCAAGAGCAUAACUUGGGGGAAAUGAUCAAGGCUUCUUGCUUGCCAGCUGGAGGGAGGAAAAAAAGGGAGCCCCGUGAAGCCGUCUGGGGGAGCAGGGCUGUGAGCGGACAACAGAGAGACCUGGCUCCCAUUUGCACAUCGCCCACGAGCCUAGGGAGAUGGAGCCCACCGGUGGCACGUGCAUUGUUGACACGCAGACACGCAGGCGUGCGCUAAUGGAGGGAUGCGCGACUGAGCAUACCGCCCCCCCCUCAUGCCUGCAUUUCUUGCAGGCAUGACUUGUUUAAUGGCCAGAGAAUUGAGUGCCUCAUC